UUGCUUCAGCAGCAUACACUUAAAAAAUAGAAUGAUACAGACAAGAUUGGGAUGGCCCCUAUGCAAGAAUGACAUGCCAAUUCAUGAGGUGUUCCAUUUUAAA